rnacentral:rRNA from 1 species
GACGAACGCUGGCGGCGUGCUUAACACAUGCAAGUCGAACGGUAAGGCCCUUCGGGGUACACGAGUGGCGAACGGGUGAGUAACACGUGGGUGAUCUGCCCUGCACUUCGGGAUAAGCCUGGGAAACUGGGUCUAAUACCGGAUAGGACCACUGCCUGCAUGGGUGGUGGUGGAAAGCUUUUGCGGUGUGGGAUGGGCCCGCGGCCUAUCAGCUCGUUGGUGGGGUGAGGGCCUACCAAGGCGACGACGGGUAGCCGGCCUGAGAGGGGUACCGGCCACACUGGGACUGAGAUACGGCCCAGACUCGUACGGGAGGCAGCAGUGGGGAAUAUUGCACAAUGGGCGCAAGCCUGAUGCAGCGACGCCGCGUGAGGGAUGACGGCCUUCGGGUUGUAAACCUCUUUCAGCACCGACGAAGCGCAAGUGACGGUAGGUGCAGAAGAAGGACCGGCCAACUACGUGCCAGCCGCCGCAGUAA